rnacentral:rRNA from 1 species
GUUAAAGGUACCCGUACCGCAAACCGACACAGGUGGGUGAGGAGAGUAUCCUAAGGCCAGCGAGAGAACUGUUGUUAAGGAACUCGGCAAAAUGACCCCGUAACUUAGGGAUAAGGGGUGCCACCAUCAGGUGGCCGCAGAGAAUAGGCCCAAGCGACUGUUUACCAAAAACAUAGGUUUCUGCUAAGUCGCAAGACGAUGUAUAGGAGCUGACGCCUGCCCGGUGCUGGAAGGUUAAGGGGAUCUGUUAGAG